UACCAUCCUGAGGCACAACCUGAAAAACAACCAAUGGAUUCAGUCAAAGAGACUGACUUUUGAUGGACUUAUUCGAAGAUUGAUAUUGCUUGGAUUUGCUGCUUUGAUUUCCAGAGAGGAUUUUUAACCUGCAGCCCAACACACAACCUGAAAGACCAGACUGUGCUGCAGCUUUGGCAUGAUAAAAAAAAAAUGUAUAGUUAGACUGCAAAUCUGCCAAUAUGUACAACUUACCUGGUGGUUGCUGCUGGCAGCUUGGUAAGCAGCAGUCAAAGGUCGAAUAGGAAGCCGAGAGGGUGUGGCAGGUUUUACUGACACAUCCAUUUUUGAUGUUUCCAUGUGUCUCAUUGUAUUUUCCUUCCCACAGUCUUCCAUUAAACUUUUCUCUAUA